rnacentral:rRNA from 1 species
UACGGGGGGGGCAAGCGUUGUUCGGAAUUACUGGGCGUAAAGGGCUCGUAGGUGGCCAAUUAAGUCAGGCGUGAAAUCCCCAGGCUCAACUUGGGAACUGCGUCUGAUACUGGUUGGCUUGAAUUCGGGAGAGGGAUGCGGAAUUCCAGGUGUAGCGGUGAAAUGCGUAGAUAUCUGGAGGAAUACCGGUGGCGAAGGCGGCAUCCUGGACCGAGAUUGACACUGAUGAGCGAAAGCCAGGGGAGCAAACGGG